AGAGUUUGAUCAUGGCUCAGAUUGAACGCUGGCGGCAUGCCUUACACAUGCAAGUCGAACGGCAGCACGGGAGCAAUCCUGGUGGCGAGUGGCGAACGGGUGAGUAAUAUAUCGGAACGUGCCCAGUCGUGGGGGAUAACGUAGCGAAAGCUACGCUAAUACCGCAUACGAUCUAUGGAUGAAAGCGGGGGAUCGCAAGACCUCGCGCGAUUGGAGCGGCCGAUAUCAGAUUAGGUAGUUGGUGGGGUAAAGGCUCACCAAGCCAACGAUCUGUAGCUGGUCUGAGAGGACGACCAGCCACACUGGGACUGAGACACGGUCCAGACUCCUACGGGAGGCAGCAGUGGGGAAUUUUGGACAAUGGGCGCAAGCCUGAUCCAGCAAUGCCGCGUGAGUGAAGAAGGCCUUCGGGUUGUAAAGCUCUUUUGUCAGGGAAGAAACGGUUCUGGUUAAUACCUGGGGCUAAUGACGGUACCUGAAGAAUAAGCACCGGCUAACUACGUGCCAGCAGCCGCGGUAAUACGUAGGGUGCAAGCGUUAAUCGGAAUUACUGGGCGUAAAGCGUGCGCAGGCGGUUAUGUAAGACAGAUGUGAAAUGCCCGGGCUCAACCUGGGAACUGCAUUUGUGACUGCAUGGCUAGAGUGUGUCAGAGGGGGGUAGAAUUCCACGUGUAGCAGUGAAAUGCGUAGAGAUGUGGAGGAAUACCGAUGGCGAAGGCAGCCCCCUGGGAUAACACUGGACGCUCAUGCACGAAAGCGUGGG
rnacentral:rRNA from 1 species